UCAGUCCGCCCCCCAUGGCCACGGGUCCCUUCCUCCGUUCGUCCUCUCCCCUGUGAGGGCCUUGCAGUGGGCACCCACCCGCGCCCAGCGGGGCUGUGGGAGGGGGUUCUGUUUGAGGAGUGAGGAGAGCUCCACACGGGUUGGUCAUGGAGUCACCCACCCAGAACGAUGGAGUCCAGCGUUCUGCUGGAAACAGGGCCUGGGACACUUGGAGGAAGAAAAAGAAGUGGAGAUUUCAUUUCCUUAAGCACAGAAG